rnacentral:rRNA from 1 species
CCUACGGGCGGCAGCAGUGAGGAAUAUUGGUCAAUGGACGAGAGUCUGAACCAGCCAAGUAGCGUGAAGGAUGACUGCCCUAUGGGUUGUAAACUUCUUUUAUAAAGGAAUAAAACGAGGCACGUGUGCCUUUUUGCAUGUACUUUAUGAAUAAGGAUCGGCUAACUCCGUGCCAGCAGCCGCGGUAAUACGGAGGAUCCGAGCGUUACCCGGAUUUAUUGGGUUUAAAGGGAGCGUAGAUGGGUUUUUAAGUCAGUUGUGAAAGUUUGCGGCUCAACCGUAAGAGUGCAAUUGAAACUGGCAGUCUGGAGUACAGUUGAGGUAGGCGGAAUUCGUGGUGUAGCGGUGAAAUGCUUAGAUAUCACGAAGAACCCCGAUUGCGAAGGCAGCUUACUAAACUGUGACUGACAUUGAUGCUCGAAAGUGUGGGUAUCAAACAGGAUUAGAUACCCCAGUAGUC